rnacentral:rRNA from 1 species
AACGAACGCUGGCGGCAUGCCUAACACAUGCAAGUCGAACGAGACCUUCGGGUCUAGUGUCGCACGGGUGCGUAACGCGUGGGAACCUGCCCUUCGGUUCGGAAUAACUCCCCGAAAGGGGUGCUAAUACCGGAUAAUGUCUUCGGACCAAAGAUUUGUCGCCUUUGGAUGGGCCGGCGUUGGAUUAGCUAGUUGGUAGGGUAAAAGCCUACCAAGGCGACGAUCCAUAGCUGGUCUGAGAGGAUGAUCAGCCACACUGGGACUGAGACACGGCCCAGACUCCUACGGGAGGCAGCAGUGGGGAAUAUUGGACAAUGGGCGAAAGCCUGAUCCAGCAAUGCCGCGUGAGUGAUGAAGGCCUUAGGGUUGUAAAGCUCUUUUACCCGGGAUGAUAAUGACAGUACCGGGAGAAUAAGCUCCGGCUAACUCCGUG